rnacentral:lncRNA from 1 species
GCUAUACAUCUGAAGGUGGAUGGACUGGAUCCCCAUGACACAGUGGAGAUAGUAUUUCUUCAGGGAAGAACACAGAACUCAUUCUUCUCAUAGCCUGUCUGCACUGACCAGGGAUUGUAGCAACUGCAACCUGCCUGAAUUUCCUGCUGCUGACAAGGGGAGUCAAGUCAAUCCAAGCCUCUUAGAAGGGGUAGAGAAAAAGUCCCAGAAAGAGGGUCAAGCUGAAAAAAAUACUUGAAGAAAUAACAACUGAAAACUUCCUAAAUUUGGCAAAGGACAUAAACCUACAGAUUUAAGAAGUGCUGCUAUACACCGGCUGUCACCUCCUGUUGAAUAAUUAAUUUCAGGAAACCAAAUUUGCUCAAGGAAAAAAAAACCAGAAUAAGGGGACUGGCGAUUGGCA